UACGUAGGGGGCAAGCGUUGUCCGGAAUUACUGGGCGUAAAGCGUGCGCAGGCGGUUGUGCAAGACCGAUGGGAAAUCCCCGGGCUUAACCUGGGAAUGGCAUUGGUGACUGCACGGCUAGAGUGUGUCAGAGGGGGGUAGAAUUCCACGUGUAGCAGUGAAAUGCGUAGAGAUGUGGAGGAAUACCGAUGGCGAAGGCAGCCCCCUGGGAUAACACUGACGCUGAGGUACGAAAGCGUGGGGAGCAAACAGG
rnacentral:rRNA from 1 species